GCUUAAAACUCAAAGGACUUGGCGGUGCUUUACAUCCCUCUAGAGGAGCCUGUUCUAUAAUCGAUAAACCCCGAUAUACCUCACCAUCUCUUGCUAAUUCAGCCUAUAUACCGCCAUCUUCAGCAAACCCUAAAAAGGAAGAAAAGUAAGCACAAGUAUCUUAACAUAAAAAAGUUAGGUCAAGGUGUA
rnacentral:rRNA from 1 species